rnacentral:rRNA from 1 species
UACGGAGGGAGCUAGCGUUGUUCGGAAUUACUGGGCGUAAAGCGCACGUAGGCGGCUUUGUAAGUUAGAGGUGAAAGCCCGGGGCUCAACUCCGGAACUGCCUUUAAGACUGCAUCGCUUGAAUCCAGGAGAGGUGAGUGGAAUUCCGAGUGUAGAGGUGAAAUUCGUAGAUAUUCGGAAGAACACCAGUGGCGAAGGCGGCUCACUGGCCCAUAACUGACGCUGAGGCACGAAAGCGUGGGGAGCAAACAGG